rnacentral:rRNA from 1 species
ACGUAGGACGCAAGCGUUAUCCGGAGUUACUGGGCGUAAAGGGCGGGCAGGCGGUCGAUGCAAGUGGGGUGUGAAAUCUCCCAGCUUAACUGGGAGAGGCCAUUCCAAACUGCUCGACUGGAGGGCAGUAGAGGUAGGCGGAAUUCCGGGUGUAGUGGUGAAAUGCGUAGAGAUCCGGAGGAACCCCAGAGGCGAAGGCGGCGCCCUGGCUCGCAACUGACGCUCAGACACGACAGCAUGGGGAGCGAACGGGA